rnacentral:rRNA from 1 species
GAAACGGGUUAAUAUUCCCGUACUGGUGAUAAUUGCGAUGGGGGGACGGAGAAGGCUAGGCUAUCCGGGCGACGGUUGUCCCGGUUUAAGGAUGUAGGCAGGUGAAUUAGGCAAAUCCGGUUCACUAUAUGCUGAGGUCCGAUGACGAGUCACUACGGUGAUGAAGUAGCUCAUGCCCCGCUUCCAGGAAAAGCCUCUAAGCUCUAGAUUAUCAUUAAUCGUACCCCAAACCGACACAGGUGGUCAGGUAGAGAAUACUCAGGCGCUUGA